rnacentral:ncRNA from 1 species
GUCUCUAGUAACGCCCAGUAACAGCAAAAAGCCAUUUCUCAAAAGGGGAGUAGUUAGCUGCAGAGGAUGGCAGGGGUUUGCUCCAAAAUCCUAAGGGUGUGAUUCACCAGUAGGGGACAGUGCCAGGUGGGGAGUUUGGCUGGGGAAGUACACCUGCCAAACAGUUACGCAGGUGUCCUAAGGCAAGCUUAGGGAGGACAGAAACCUCUCAUUGAGCAGAAGGGCAAAAGCUCCCUUGAUCUUCAUUUUCAGUACGAAUAUAUACCGUGAAAGCAGGGCCUCACAAUCCUUCAGGCCUUUUAGGUCUUAAACAGGAGGUGUCAGAA